rnacentral:rRNA from 1 species
AGAGGGAAACAACCCUGACCUCCAGCUAAGGUCCCUAAGUCAUGGCUAAGUGGGAAAGGAUGUGGGAAGGCCAAGACAACCAGGAGGUUGGCUUAGAAGCAGCCAUCCUUUAAAGAAAGCGUAACAGCUCACUGGUCUAAAUAAGGGUUCCUGCGGCGAAGAUGUAACGGGGCUAAAGAUAUGCACCGAAGCUUAGGGUUCAGAAUUUAUUCUGAGCGGUAGCGGAGCGUUCCGUAAGUGGUUGAAGCCGAAGGGUAACCGACGGUGGACAUAUCGGAAGUGCGAAUGCUGACAUGAGUAACGAUAAGAGGGGUGAAAAACCCCUCCGCCGAAAGAUCAAGGUUUCCUGUCCAACGUUAAUCGGGACAGGGUGAGUCGGCCCCUAAGGCGAGGGCGAAGGCCGUAGUCGAUGGGAAAUCGGUUAAAAUUCCGAUACCGACUCUUACUGCGAUGGGGUGACGGAGAAGGCUAGGCUAGCAGGGCGAUGGUUGUCCCUGUUUAAGCGUGUAGGUAGGGGGAUUAGGUAAAUCCGGUCCCUCGUUAAUCUGAGACGUGAUGACGAUCCCUUGGGGAGACCCUCGGGAGAAGUAGUCGAUGCCAUACUUCCAGGAAAAACCUCUAAGCUUCAGGUAAGAGUUGACCGUACUGUAAACCGACACAGGUGAUCAGGUAGAGUAUACCAAGGCGCUUGAGAGAACUUGGGUGAAGGAACUAGGCAAAAUGGUACCGUAACUUCGGGAGAAGGUACGCUCCUUUUGGUGAUCGCACUUGCUGCGUAAGCUGAGGGGAGUCGAAGUGACCAGGUGGCUGCAACUGUUUAUUAAAAACAUAGCACUCUGCAAACACGUGAGUGGAAGUAUAGGGUGUGACGCCUGCCCGGUGCCGGAAGGUUAAGAGGAGAGGUGAGAGCUUUGAAUCGAAGCCCCGGUAAACGGCGGCCGUAACAAUAACGGUCCUAAGGUAGCGAAAUUCCUUG